rnacentral:rRNA from 1 species
UACGUAGGGUGCAAGCGUGUCCGGAAUUAUUGGGCGUAAAGAGCUCGUAGGCGGUUUGUCGCGUCUGCUGUGAAAACCCGAGGCUCAACCUCGGGCCUGCAGUGGGUACGGGCAGACUAGAGUGGCGGUAGGGGAGAUUGGAAUUCCUGGUGUAGCGGUGGAAUGCGCAGAUAUCAGGAGGAACACCGAUGGCGAAGGCAGAUCUCUGGGCCGUAACUGACGCUGAGGAGUGAAAGCAUGGGGAGCGAACAGG